rnacentral:rRNA from 1 species
GAUGAACGCUGGCGGCGUGCUUAACACAUGCAAGUCGAACGGAAAGGCUCCUGCUUGCAGGGGUACUCGAGUGGCGAACGGGUGAGUAACACGUGGGUGAUCUGCCCUGCACUUCGGGAUAAGCCUGGGAAACUGGGUCUAAUACCGGAUAGGACGAUGGUUUGGAUGCCAUUGUGGAAAGUUUUUUCGGUGUGGGAUGAGCUCGCGGCCUAUCAGCUUGUUGGUGGGGUAAUGGCCUACCAAGGCGUCGACGGGUAGCCGGCCUGAGAGGGUGUACGGCCACAUUGGGACUGAGAUACGGCCCAGACUCCUACGGGAGGCAGCAGUGGGGAAUAUUGCACAAUGGGCGCAAGCCUGAUGCAGCGACGCCGCGUGGGGGAUGACGGCCUUCGGGUUGUAAACUCCUUUCGCUAGGGACGAAGCGCAAGUGACGGUACCUGGAGAAGAAGCACCGACUAACUACGUG